UACGUAGGGAGCAAGCGUUGUCCGGAAUCAUUGGGCGUAAAGCGCGCGUAGGCGGCCCGGUCAGUCUGUCGUGAAAGUCAAAGGCUCAACCUUUGAAUGUCGAUGGAUACUGCCGGGCUAGAGUCCGGAAGAGGCGAGUGGAAUUCCUGGUGUAGCGGUGGAAUGCGCAGAUAUCAGGAGGAACACCAAUAGCGAAGGCAGCUCGCUGGGACGGUACUGACGCUAAGGCGCGAAAGCGUGGGGAGCGAACAGG
rnacentral:rRNA from 1 species